rnacentral:rRNA from 1 species
AUGAACGCUAGCUACAGGCUUAACACAUGCAAGUCGAGGGGCAGCAUGAACUUAGCUUGCUAAGUUUGAUGGCGACCGGCGCACGGGUGAGUAACACGUAUCCAACCUGCCGAUGACUCGGGGAUAGCCUUUCGAAAGAAAGAUUAAUACCCGAUGGCAUAGUUCUUCCGCAUGGUAGAACUAUUAAAGAAUUUCGGUCAUCGAUGGGGAUGCGUUCCAUUAGGUUGUUGGCGGGGUAACGGCCCACCAAGCCUUCGAUGGAUAGGGGUUCUGAGAGGAAGGUCCCCCACAUUGGAACUGAGACACGGUCCAAACUCCUACGGGAGGCAGCAGUGAGGAAUAUUGGUCAAUGGACGAGAGUCUGAACCAGCCAAGUAGCGUGAAGGAUGACUGCCCUAUGGGUUGUAAACUUCUUUUAUACGGGAAUAAAGUGAGGCACGUGUGCCUUUUUGUAUGUACCGUAUGAAUAAGGAUCGGCUAACUCCGUGCCAGCAGCCGCGGUAAUACGGAGGAUCCGAGCGUUAUCCGGAUUUAUUGGGUUUAAAGGGAGCGUAGGCGGACGCUUAAGUCAGUUGUGAAAGUUUGCGGCUCAACCGUAAAAUUGCAGUUGAUACUGGGUGUCUUGAGUACAGUAGAGGCAGGCGGAAUUCGUGGUGUAGCGGUGAAAUGCUUAGAUAUCACGAAGAACUCCGAUUGCGAAGGCAGCCUGCUGGACUGUAACUGACGCUGAUGCUCGAAAGUGUGGGUAUCAAACAGGAUUAGAUACCCUGGUAGUCCACACAGUAAACGAUGAAUACUCGCUGUUUGCGAUAUACAGUAAGCGGCCAAGCGAAAGCGUUAAGUAUUCCACCUGGGGAGUACGCCGGCAACGGUGAAACUCAAAGGAAUUGACGGGGGCCCGCACAAGCGGAGGAACAUGUGGUUUAAUUCGAUGAUACGCGAGGAACCUUACCCGGGCUUGAAUUGCAACUGAAUGAUGUGGAGACAUGUCAGCCGCAAGGCAGUUGUGAAGGUGCUGCAUGGUUGUCGUCAGCUCGUGUCGUGAGAUGUUGGGUUAAGUCCCGCAACGAGCGCAACCCUUACUGUCAGUUACUACGCAAGAGGACUCUGGCAGGACUGCCGUUGACAAAACGGAGGAAGGUGGGGAUGACGUCAAAUCAUCAUGCCCCUUAUGAUUUGGGCUACACACGUGCUACAAUGGUUGGUACAAAGAGAAGCGAAGCGGUGACGUGGAGCAAACCUCAUAAAGCCAAUCUCAGUUCGGAUUGUAGGCUGCAACUCGCCUACAUGAAGUUGGAAUCGCUAGUAAUCGCGAAUCAGCAUGUCGCGGUGAAUACGUUCCCGGGCCUUGUACACACCGCCCGUCACACCAUGAGAGUCGGAGAUACCCGAAGCCUGUGAGCCAACUUUUUAAGAGGCAGCAGUCGAAGGUAGAGUCGAUAAUUGGGGUG